rnacentral:rRNA from 1 species
AUGGCCUCUAUCAUGGCCACCACCUCGGCCAUCUCGGGCCGCUUGUCGGGGUUCGCGUCCCAGCACCGUUUCAUCACGUUCGCCAAAGCGCUCGGACAGCACCGCGGUAUCUCCGGCCUCAGGUUCUGCACACCAACGAUGCUUUUUGUAUUAUUAUCAAAUCCCAAAGCUAUAAACAUCGCAUUUCCUAUUGUAAGGAUGACCAUUCAGGACCUGCACAUAGAUAGAUGCCGGCAUUAA